rnacentral:tRNA from 1 species
UAUGUUUUAUUAUAAUAUGUAUAAAAGUUUUUGAUACUUUAGGAAAUAGUUUAAUACUAUUAAACAUAG